rnacentral:rRNA from 1 species
GACGUAGGGCGCGAGCGUUGUCCGGAUUUAUUGGGCGUAAAGAGCUCGUAGGCGGCUUGUCGCGUCGAAUGUGAAAACUCGGGGCUCAACUCCGAGCUUGCAUUCGAUACGGGCAGGCUAGAGUUCGGUAGGGGAGACUGGAAUUCCUGGUGUAGCGGUGAAAUGCGCAGAUAUCAGGAGGAACACCGGUGGCGAAGGCAGCUCGCUGGGACGGUACUGACGCUGAGGCGCGAAAGCGUGGGGAGCGAACAGG